GGGACACGUGGUAUCCUGUCUGAAUAUGGGGGGACCAUCCUCCAAGGCUAAAUACUCCUGACUGACCGAUAGUGAACCAGUACCGUGAGGGAAAGGCGAAAAGAACCCCGGCGAGGGGAGUGAAAAAGAACCUGAAACCGUGUACGUACAAGCAGUGGGAGCCUCUUUUAUGGGGUGACUGCGUACCUUUUGUAUAAUGGGUCAGCGACUUAUAUUCUGUAGCAAGGUUAACCGAAUAGGGGAGCCGAAGGGAAACCGAGUCUUAACUGGGCGUUAAGUUGCAGGGUAUAGACCCGAAACCCGGUGAUCUAGCCAUGGGCAGGUUGAAGGUUGGGUAACACUAACUGGAGGACCGAACCGACUAAUGUUGAAAAAUUAGCGGAUGACUUGUGGCUGGGGGUGAAAGGCCAAUCAAACCGGGAGAUAGCUGGUUCUCCCCGAAAGCUAUUUAGGUAGCGCCUCGUGAAUUCAUCUCCGGGGGUAGAGCACUGUUUCGGCAAGGGGGUCAUCCCGACUUACCAACCCGAUGCAAACUGCGA
rnacentral:rRNA from 1 species